GACGAACGCUGGCGGCGUGCUUAACACAUGCAAGUCGAACGCUGAAGCUUGGAGCUUGCUCUGGGUGGAUGAGUGGCGAACGGGUGAGUAACACGUGAGUAACCUGCCCCUGACUCUGGGAUAAGCGCUGGAAACGGCGUCUAAUACUGGAUACGACCCAUAGAGGCAUCUCUUGUGGGUGGAAAGAUUUUUCGGUUGGGGAUGGACUCGCGGCCUAUCAGCUUGUUGGUGAGGUAAUGGCUCACCAAGGCGACGACGGGUAGCCGGCCUGAGAGGGUGACCGGCCACACUGGGACUGAGACACGGCCCAGACUCCUACGGGAGGCAGCAGUGGGGAAUAUUGCACAAUGGGCGCAAGCCUGAUGCAGCAACGCCGCGUGAGGGAUGACGGCCUUCGGGUUGUAAACCUCUUUUAGUAGGGAAGAAGCGUAAGUGACGGUACCUGCAGAAAAAGCACCGGCUAACUACGUGCCAGCAGCCGCGGUAAUACGUAGGGUGCAAGCGUUGUCCGGAAUUAUUGGGCGUAAAGAGCUUGUAGGCGGCUUGUCGCGUCUGCUGUGAAAUCCCGGGGCUCAACUCCGGGCCUGCAGUGGGUACGGGCAGGCUAGAGUGCGGUAGGGGAGAUUGGAAUUCCUGGUGUAGCGGUGGAAUGCGCAGAUAUCAGGAGGAACACCGAUGGCGAAGGCAGAUCUCUGGGCCGCUACUGACGCUGAGGAGCGAAAGCAUGGGGAGCGAACAGGAUUAGAUACCCUGGUAGUCCAUGCCGUAAACGUUGGGAACUAGAUGUAGGGCCUGUUCCACGGGUUCUGUGUCGUAGCUAACGCAUUAAGUUCCCCGCCUGGGGAGUACGGCCGCAAGGCUAAAACUCAAAGGAAUUGACGGGGGCCCGCACAAGCGGCGGAGCAUGCGGAUUAAUUCGAUGCAACGCGAAGAACCUUACCAAGGCUUGACAUAUUCGAGAACGCCCCAGAGAUGGGGAACUCUUUGGACACUCGUUUACAGGUGGUGCAUGGUUGUCGUCAGCUCGUGUCGUGAGAUGUUCGGUUAAGUCCGGCAACGAGCGCAACCCUCGUCCUAUGUUGCCAGCGGUUCGGCCGGGAACUCAUGGGAUACUGCCGUGGUCAACACGGAGGAAGGUGGGGAUGACGUCAAAUCAUCAUGCCCCUUAUGUCUUGGGCUUCACGCAUGCUACAAUGGCCGGUACAAUGGGUUGCGAUACCGUGAGGUGGAGCGAAUCCCAAAAAGCCGGUCUCAGUUCGGAUUGGGGUCUGCAACUCGACCCCAUGAAGUCGGAGUCGCUAGUAAUCGCAGAUCAGCAACGCUGCGGUGAAUACGUUCCCGGGCCUUGUACACACCGC
rnacentral:rRNA from 1 species